AUUGAACGCUGGCGGAAUGCUUUACACAUGCAAGUCGAACGGCAGCACGGACUUCGGUCUGGUGGCGAGUGGCGAACGGGUGAGUAAUGUAUCGGAACGUGCCCAGUCGUGGGGGAUAACGUAGUGAAAAUUACGCUAAUACCGCAUACGAUCUAUGGAUGAAAGCGGGGGAUCGCAAGACCUCGCGCGAUUGGAGCGGCCGAUAUCAGAUUAGGUAGUUGGUGGGGUAAAGGCCCACCAAGCCAACGAUCUGUAGUUGGUCUGAGAGGACGACCAGCCACACUGGAACUGAGACACGGUCAAGACUCCUACGGGAGGCAGCAGUGGGGAAUUUUGGACAAUGGGCGAAAGCCUGAUCCAGCCAUUCCGCGUGCAGGAUGAAGGCCCUCGGGUUGUAAACUGCUUUUGUACAGAACGAAAAGGUUUCUACUAAUACUAGGAGCUCAUGACGGUACUGUAAGAAUAAGCACCGGCUAACUACGUGCCAGCAGCCGCGGUAA
rnacentral:rRNA from 1 species